AGAGUUUGAUCCUGGCUCAGGAUGAACGCUGGCGGCGUGCUUAACACAUGCAAGUCGAACGAAGCACUUUAUUUGAUUUCCUUCGGGACUGAUUAUUUUGUGACUGAGUGGCGGACGGGUGAGUAACGCGUGGGUAACCUGCCUUGUACAGGGGAAUAACAGUUGGAAACGGCUGCUAAUACCGCAUAAGCGCACAGCAUCGCAUGAUGUAGUGUGAAAAACUCCGGUGGUAUAAGAUGGACCCGCGUUGGAUUAGCUAGUUGGUGAGGUAACGGCCCACCAAGGCGACGAUCCAUAGCCGACCUGAGAGGGUGACCGGCCACAUUGGGACUGAGACACGGCCUAAACUCCUACGGGAGGCAGCAGUGGGGAAUAUUGCACAAUGGGCGAAAGCCUGAUGCAGCGACGCCGCGUGAGCGAAGAAGUAUUUCGGUAUGUAAAGCUCUAUCAGCAGGGAAGAUAAUGACGGUACCUGACUAAGAAGCACCGGCUAAAUACGUGCCAGCAGCCGCGGUAAUACGUAUGGUGCAAGCGUUAUCCGGAUUUACUGGGUGUAAAGGGAGCGCAGGCGGUGCGGCAAGUCUGAUGUGAAAGCCCGGGGCUCAACCCCGGUACUGCAUUGGAAACUGUCGUACUAGAGUGUCGGAGGGGUAAGCGGAAUUCCUAGUGUAGCGGUGAAAUGCGUAGAUAUUAGGAGGAACACCAGUGGCGAAGGCGGCUUACUGGACGAUAACUGACGCUGAGGCUCGAAAGCGUGGGGAGCAAACAGGAUUAGAUACCCUGGUAGUCCACGCCGUAAACGA
rnacentral:rRNA from 1 species